rnacentral:lncRNA from 1 species
UAGAUUUCAUCCUUGGGCUGACUGGACUUCCUUCUCCUCCCUUCCAGGAACGAGAGGAUGAGUUGCGUGCCAUGGCUCGGAAGAUCCGGAUGAAGGAGCGGGAACGGCGGGAGAAGGAGCGGGAAGAGUGGGAGCGACAGUACAGCCGCCACAGCCGCUCGCCUUCUCCGCGCUACAGUCGAGAACACAGCAGCUCCAGAAGG